GUGUGCUUGCUUUGACAACAUACUUACAAAAAAAAAGGAACAAUACAGAGAAAAUUGGCUUGACUCCUACACAAGGAUGACACAUCUGUGAAGCAUUCUAUAUGCUU
ensembl:snRNA U6 U6 spliceosomal RNA